rnacentral:rRNA from 1 species
UGAGGAACCUGCCUUGGAGAGGGGAAUAACACUCCGAAAGGAGUGCUAAUACCGCAUGAUGCAGUUGGGUCGCAUGGCUCUGACUGCCAAAGAUUUAUCGCUCUGAGAUGGCCUCGCGUCUGAUUAGCUAGUAGGCGGGGGUAACGGCCCACCUAGGCGACGAUCAGUAGCCGGACUGAGAGGUUGACCGGCCACAUUAGGACUGAGACACGGCCCAGACUCCUACGGGAGGCAGCAUG